CUCAAGAUAAUGACCGACGGUGUUAACAGCAGGGUCAAGAGUUAGGACUGUCCUUCCUGAAUAUCCCACCUGUCCUACCCGAAGACAUCACCAUCCCAACUCCAGAGGAAAAUGCCCUUGAGUUUCUAUAUCGUUUUGCCAUCAAAAUACAUCCACACUGACAAGCCUGCUUAGACCAGUGCUCCUAAGUGUUCCUGUCUUGAUGGAUUAGCUUGGCCAGGACAAGUUUACACAUCACUGGAGAAGUGUGAAGAGGGAGUGCGGAUGGAAAAAAAAUAGAGACACAAGAAGAGGUUUAUAAUGUUUGAAAUUAGGCAGCCCAGCCCGGAACUUUCCAUAAAAACUUUCUCCUG
rnacentral:lncRNA from 1 species